GAUGAACGCUAGCGGCAGGCCUAACACAUGCAAGUCGAGGGGCAGCACAGAAACAGCAAUGUUUUGGUGGCGACCGGCGGACGGGUGCGUAACGCGUAUGCAACCUACCUUUAACAGGGGGAUAACGGAGAGAAAUUUCCACUAAUACCCCAUAACAUCGAUCAAGGCAUCUUGAUUGGUUGAAAACUCCGGUGGUUAAAGAUGGGCAUGCGUUGUAUUAGGUAGUUGGUGAGGUAAUGGCUCACCAAGCCUACGAUACAUAGGGGGACUGAGAGGUUAGCCCCCCACACUGGUACUGAGACACGGACCAGACUCCUACGGGAGGCAGCAGUGAGGAAUAUUGGUCAAUGGGGGCAACCCUGAACCAGCCAUGCCGCGUGCAGGAAGACGGCUCUAUGAGUUGUAAACUGCUUUUAAACAGGGAUGAGGCACAGUAUGUAUACUGUGUUGAAGGUACUGUAAGAAUAAGGAUCGGCUAACUCCGUGCCAGCCGCCGCGGUAA
rnacentral:rRNA from 1 species